AAUCAACGCUGGCGGCGUGCCUAACACAUGCAAGUCGAACGCGAAAGUCCCGAAAGGGGCAAGUAGAGUGGCAAACGGGUGAGUAACGCGUGGGUGACCUGCCUUCGAGCGGGGGAUAACGUUCCGAAAGGGACGCUAAUACCGCAUAACAUCCUGCCCUUGAACGGGUGGAGAUCAAAGCCGGGGAUUCGCAAGAACCCGGCACUUGAAGAGGGGCCCGCGUCUGAUUAGCUAGUUGGUGAGGUAACGGCNCACCAAGGCAACGAUCAGUAUCCGGCCUGAGAGGGCGGACGGACACACUGGGACUGAGACACGGGCCCAGACCCCUACGGGAGGGCAGCAGUGGGGAAGUCUUGCGCAAUGGGCGAAAGCCUGACGCAGCGACGCCGCGUGAGGGAUGACGGCCUC
rnacentral:rRNA from 1 species